rnacentral:rRNA from 1 species
GCUACGGGGGGCAGCAGUGAGGAAUAUUGGUCAAUGGACGCAAGUCUGAACCAGCCAUGCCGCGUGCAGGAAGACGGCUCUAUGAGUUGUCAACUGCUUUUGUACGAGGGUAAACGCAGAUACGCGUAUCUGUCUGAAAGUAUCGUACGAAUAAGGAUCGGCUAACUCCGUGCCAGCAGCCGCGGUAAAACGGAGGAUUCAAGCGUUAUCCGGCUUUAUUGGGUUUAAAGGGUGCGUAGGCGGUCGGAUAAGUUAGAGGUGAAAUCCCGAGGCUCAACUUCGGAAUUGCCUCUGAAAAUGUUCGUCUAGCGAGUAGUUGCGGUAUGCGGAAUGUGUGGUGUAGCGGUGAAAUGCUUAGAGAUCAUACAGAACACCGAUUGCGAAGGCAGCUUCCCAAGCUACUUCUGACGUUGAGGCACGAAAGCGUGGGGAGCAAACAGGAUUAGAUACCCGAGUAGUC